rnacentral:lncRNA from 1 species
ACCCAUAUAUCACAUUUUUAUCAGGGGGUGGGAUCCUUUCCCCAGUCUCUCUGGUGGUGGUGAUGCUGGUGGAGGAGGGGAGCAUGUAGCAAAAGGGGAGGAGGAGGAGGAGGAGGAGGAGGAGGGAGAGCGACGUAAGGCGGGGAGGGAGGGAGGGAGGAGGGCGACUGCGCCGGCUCUCUGACUCCUUCCUCUCCCUUUCCUCCUCCUCCUCCUCCUCCUCGUUGCCUGGGCCGCCGGCCGGGACCCACCGCUGGCUGGGCGGCGGUGGGGGGAAAAGGAGGAGGAAGCAAGCAAGCCGCCCUUCUGCCCCACGGACCCCCAGCAUCGGGCUAUGUUCGAGACGCAGGGCCGAUCCCUGGGCGGCCGGUAAGUUCCCUGCUAGAUACGGAGCAUGUUUGAAUGCAUGGGGGAAAAGGUGGAAGGGGAUGCAUGGUGAUAUAUCUGUCCUAUCUUAUAAACUGACUUGCAAAAUCCCCGACAAAUGCAGCUCCCCUAUACUGUCCCAAAAGGGUACCAUCAGAAGUGAAGUUUAGUACGUGAUCUUGAUCCACUUGUUGUUUGAUGACCUAAUCCACAUUGCAGUGUGGAAAUGUGUAUGCUGCGUACUGCUUCACCCUUUGCAGAAAUAGUGAGAUAUAAGUAGUAAACCUUGUACUCCUGACUCUUUGUCUUUCCUUGUCAGCUUUUCAAGGAAGUCCACAAAAUGCAAAGUACACUGCCUAUAUCCCAUCUCUCUCUCCCUUUACAGCGGGUUCCUAUCAAUACUUGUAGGUAAUCACUCGGUCAACGUGAUUAGUAAAAGUUAAAGAUUUUCUAAUGAUUUCUCUGUUUGCAGUCACUGUUCUUAGUGUUGGCUAAGGCAGGAGAUACGAUUCAGUGAACAAUUCAGCAUAUAUGAUUCAUAUAUGUGUGCUGAAGAAAUUUCUAGCAUGGAUUAAACUUAGAAAUGUAAUUCUUUCAACAUAGAUUGCAUAUUCUGCUCGGCCUCCGUUAAGCUUUGUAUGGAAGGAGACAUCCCAAGAAUUUCUUACUUUUUGGAUGGCCUUUUAUAAGGGCGCAUCCAGACAAUGCCUAAAAUGCGUGUCCUCUUGUGUUUUUCCCUGGAGCUUCCAAACAAUGCUUCAGGUAAAAAAAAAUUCCUUCAGGACAAAGCAGGAAAACCCUACUUUGUCCCAAAGUAUUUGACAACUGGAAAG